rnacentral:rRNA from 1 species
GCCUACGGGGCGCAGCAGUAGGGAAUCUUCCACAAUAGGCGAAAGCCUGAUGGAGCAACGCCGCGUGGGUGAAGAAGGUCUUCGGAUCGUAAAACCCUGUUGUUAGAGAAGAAAGUGCGUGAGAGUAACUGUUCACGUUUCGACGGUAUCUAACCAGAAAGCCACGGCUAACUACGUGCCAGCAGCCGCGGUAAUACGUAGGUGGCAAGCGUUAUCCGUAUUUAUUGGGCGUAAAGGGAACGCAGGCGGUCUUUUAAGUCUGAUGUGAAAGCCUUCGGCUUAACCGGAGUAGUGCAUUGGAAACU